GGGGGGGACGCGAGGCGCUCCGGCUUGGACAGUCCUGGGCCGGCGGUCGCAGCGCAGGAACCUCUCGUGGAGCCACUGGGUCGGCGUUUCGAUUCGUUUUCUUUGGUGCUAGAGGUACCGGAGGAAGCAACUAGCCAGGCCAGGUAGACAGCAGCAGCCAUGAAGGACCAAAGGGCGAACGGCAAGACUCGUCUCUUCUCUCAUCGCGUAGGAGAGGAACUCUAGGAAUACCUUCACAGCAGAGCAUAGCACCUCCCCAUCCCCUCCCGACAACCUCGCUUACACUGCUCUUCCCGGGCUCUGUUGUUGGACCAUAAAGAGAUGCUCCGCUUAUCCUAGUGCUGUAAGACGAAAGGAUACAAACAAAAAGGGAGAGAAGACACGCCACAAGAGUGAGCCACAAGUUGACACCGUAUUUAGGCAGAAGUUCGCAGUUGCCCGAGGAAGGUGUUAGGCGCCAAGGUCAUGGAGCCCCUGGGCAGUCCCGGACCGGCACUCGAUGCACAGGAACCUCUCCCUGGAGCAUUUGGGUCGUGCUUUUUAUUCAAGUUC